ACGGGAUCCAGGCAGCUUGCUGCCUGGUGAGAGUGGCGAACGGGUGAGUAAUGCGUGACCGACCUGCCCCAUGCACCGGAAUAGCUCCUGGAAACGGGUGGUAAUGCCGGAUGCUCCAUCACACCGCAUGGUGUGUUGGGAAAGCCUUUGCGGCAUGGGAUGGGGUCGCGUCCUAUCAGCUUGAUGGCGGGGUAACGGCCCACCAUGGCUUCGACGGGUAGCCGGCCUGAGAGGGCGACCGGCCACAUUGGGACUGAGAUACGGCCCAGACUCCUACGGGAGGCAGCAGUGGGGAAUAUUGCACAAUGGGCGCAAGCCUGAUGCAGCGACGCCGCGUGAGGGAUGGAGGCCUUCGGGUUGUAAACCUCUUUUGUUAGGGAGCAAGGCAUUUUGUGUUGAGUGUACCUUUCGAAUAAGCACCGGCUAACUAC
rnacentral:rRNA from 1 species